rnacentral:rRNA from 2 species
GGACGAACGCUGGCGGUGUGCUUAACACAUGCAAGUCGAGCGGUGAACCACCUUCGGGUGGGGAUCAGCGGCGAACGGGUGAGUAACACGUGGGCAACCUGCCCCGAGCACUGGGAUAACAGUGGGAAACCGCUGCUAAUACCGGAUAUGACUACCGACCGCGAUGGUCUGGUGGUGGGAAAGGAUUCCGGCUCGGGAUGGGCCCGCGGCCUAUCAGCUAGUUGGUGGGGUAAUGGCCUACCAAGGCGACGACGGGUAGCCGGCCUGAGAGGGCGACCGGCCACACUGGGACUGAGACACGGCCCAGACUCCUACGGGAGGCAGCAGUGGGGAAUAUUGGCGCAAUGGGCGAAAGCCUGACGCAGCAACACCGCGUGAGGGACGACGGCCUUCGGGUUGUAAACCUCUUUCAGCUCCGACGAAGCGAAAGUGACGGUAGGAGCAGAAGAAGCACCGGCUAACUACGUGCCAGCAGCCGCGGUAAUACGUAGGGUGCAAGCGUUGUCCGGAAUUAUUGGGCGUAAAGAGCUCGUAGGCGGUCCGUUGCGUCU